rnacentral:rRNA from 1 species
AGAGUUUGAUCCUGGCUCAGAUUGAACGCUGGCGGCAUGCCUAACACAUGCAAGUCGAACGGAAACGACGAAAACAAUCCCUUCGGGGUGCGUCUUCGGGCGUCGAGUGGCGGACGGGUGCGUAACGCGUAGGAAUCUACCUUAUAGUGGGGGACAACUCGAGGAAACUCGAGCUAAUACCGCAUAAUCCUUACGAGGGAAAGCAGGGGAUCUUCGGACCUUGUGCUAUUAGAUGAGCCUGCGUCGGAUUAGCUUGUUGGUAGGGUAAUGGCCUACCAAGGCAACGAUCCGUAGCUGGUCUGAGAGGACGACCAGCCACACUGGGACUGAGACACGGCCCAGACUCCUAUGGGAGGCAGCAGUGGGGAAUAUUGGACAAUGGGCGCAAGCCUGAUCCAGCAAUGCCGCGUGUGUGAAGAAGGCCUUAGGGUUGUAAAGCACUUUCAGUAGGGAAGAAAUGCGUGUAGCUAAUAACUGCGCGUCUUGACGGUACCUACAGAAGAAGCACCGGCUAACUCCGUGCCAGCAGCCGCGGUAAUACGGAGGGUGCAAGCGUUAAUCGGAAUUACUGGGCGUAAAGCGCGCGUAGGCGGUUAUAUAAGUCGGAUGUGAAAGCCCUGGGCUCAACCUGGGAACUGCAUUCGAUACUGUAUAACUAGAGUUUGGUAGAGGGAAGUGGAAUUCCACAUGUAGCGGUGAAAUGCGUAGAUAUGUGGAGGAACACCAGUGGCGAAGGCGACUUCCUGGACCAAAACUGACGCUGAGGUGCGAAAGCGUGGGUAGCAAACAGGAUUAGAUACCCUGGUAGUCCACGCCGUAAACGAUGUCAACUAGCCGUUGGGGGUAUUUGUCCCUUAGUGGCGCAGCUAACGCGAUAAGUUGACCGCCUGGGGAGUACGGUCGCAAGAUUGAAACUCAAAGGAAUUGACGGGGGCCCGCACAAGCGGUGGAGCAUGUGGUUUAAUUCGAUGCAACGCAGGAACCUUACCAGCCCUUGACAUCCUCGGAACUUACUAGAGAUUGUUUGGUGCCUUCGGGAACCGAGUGACAGGUGCUGCAUGGCUGUCGUCAGCUCGUGUCGUGGGAUGUUGGGUUAAGUCCCGUAACGAGCGCAACCCCUAUCCUUAGUUGCCGGCACGUAAUGGUGGGAACUCUAGGGAGACUGCCGGUGACAAACCGGAGGAAGGUGGGGAUGACGUCAAGUCAUCAUGGCCCUUAUGGGCUGGGCUACACACGUGCUACAAUGGCCGGUACAGAGGGUUGCCAACCCGCGAGGGGGAGCUAAUCCCAGAAAGCCGGUCGUAGUCCGGAUUGGAGUCUGCAACUCGCCUCCAUGAAGUCGGAAUCGCUAGUAAUCGCGGAUCAGAAUGCCGCGGUGAAUACGUUCCCGGGCCUUGUACACACCGCCCGUCACACCAUGGGAGUGGGUUGCACCAGAAGUAGUUAGCCUCACCUUCGGGAGGGCGAUUACCACGGUGUGAUUCAUGACUGGGGUGAAGUCGUAACAAGGUA